UGAUAAUUAGUUUAACUAAAACAAAUGAUUUCGACUCAUUAGACUGUAAUCCAUAUUACAAUUAUCAA
rnacentral:tRNA from 2 species